UGACCUCAGAUCAGAUGUGGCAACCCACUGGAUUUAAGCAUAUUAAUAAGUGGAGGAAACGAAACUAACCAGGAUUCCCUCAGUAACGGCGAGUGAAGAGGGAAUAACCCAGUGCCUAAUGCCCGUUUAGGUGACAUGUGCAGAGAAAUGUGGCAUACGGAAGUCUGUCUUCCCGGCACUGCUCAGGGGGGCCCAGGUCCUUGUGAUCAAGGCUUAGUCCGCGGAUGGUGUGAGACUGGUGGCGGCCCCCAUCGCAUUGAGUUCAGGUCUUCCUGGAGUCAGAUUGUUUGUGAAUGCAGCCCAAAGCAGGUGGUAAACUCCAUCUAAGGCUAAACCCUGGAACGAGACCAAUAGCGGACAAGUACCGUAAAGGAAAGUUGAAAAGAACUUUGAAGAGAAAGUUCAAGAGGGCAUGAAACUGUGCAGAGGUAAAUGUGUGGGGUCCGUGUGGUCCGCCCGGAGGAUUCAACAUGGUAGCCAUGCUGGCCGCAUGGGUGAGGCGGAUCUUCUCUCCCACUGGGGGGAGAUGGACUGUUCCCUAGCAUGCUGGCCGCUGUCAGGUGCAUUUUCUCUGUGGUCAUGCUCUGUGACCAGCUCUGGGUUGGCCGGCAAGGCCAUGCAAAAGGUGGCUCCCCUCAUUGUAGGGGAGUGUUACAGCCUGCAGCAUCAGCUCCAGGGUCAUGGGAGGCAGCCACACCCACCCCUGCCCUCAUGGAGGAGGCUCCCGGCUCCCAGUGGGACUGUCGACUGGGCCAGACUGCCCUCAAUGCAGCCCCACUGCAUCCUGCUGCCAUGCUGUUGGGCUUACCUCGGGUGCCCGGUGUCUGCGGUGAUGUCGGUGACCCACCCGUCCUAUCUUGAAACAUGGACCAAGGAGUCUAACAGGUGUGCGAGUCCGAGGGUGGGCAGGAGACCCCACAACACAAUGAAAGUGAGGGCCAGUGAGCACCGGCUGAGGUGGGAUCCCCCCACCCUGCUCAGGGUGUGCACUGCCGGCCCAUCUUACCCAUACCAGUUUGGAGGUGGAGGGUGAGCACACCUGGUGGGACCCAAAAGAUGCUAAACUAUGCCUUGGCAGGGCAAAGCCAGAGGAAACUCUGGUGGAGGUCCGUAGUGGUCCUGACAUGCAAAUCGGUCGUUAGACCUGGGUAUAGGGGUGAAAGACUAAUCAAACCAUCUAGUAGCUGGUUCCCUCUGAAGUUUCCCUCAGGAUAGUUGGCACUUGGCAGACACAGUUUUAUCUGGUAAAGCAAAUGAUUAGAGGUCUUGGAGCUGAAACAAUCUCAACCUAUUCUCAAAUUGUAAGAAGCCCGACUCGCUGGCUUGGAGCUGGGCAUGGAAUGCGAGCACCCAGUGGGCCACUUUUGGUAAGCAGAACUGGUGCUGCAGGAUGAACCAAAUGCCGGGUUAAAGUGCCCGAUGCCAACACUCAUCAUACCCCAGAAAAGGUGUUGGCUGAUAUAGACAGCAGGACGGUGGCCAUGGAAGUCGGAAUUCACUAAGAAGUGUGUAACAAUUCACCUGCCGAAUCAACUAGCCCUGAAAAUGGAUGGCACUGGGGUGUCGGGCCCAUACUGGUGCUGGGAGCCGAUGUGGCUACACCACAAUGAGUAGAGGGCCACUGCAGUGGCACUGAAGCCCAGGGUGAGGGCCUGGGUGGAGCCAUUGCAGGUGCAGAUCGUGGUGGUAGUAGCAAAUAUUCAAAUGGGAGCUUUGAAGGCCAAAGUAGAGAAGGGUUCUAUGUGAACAGCAGUUGAACAUGGGUCAGUCGGUCCUGAGAGACAGGUGAGCUCCAUUCUGAAGGGACGGGCGAUGGCCUCCGUCACCCUCGGCCGAUUUGAAAGGAAGUCGGGUUCAGAUCCCUGAAUCCGGAGUGGCAGAGAUGGGCACUUCGUGCUGUCCAGUGCGGUGAUGUAAACGAUCCCGGAGAAGCUGGCAGAGACCCUUGGGAGAGUUCUCUUUUCUUUGUUAAGGGCAAGGGCACCCUGGAAUGGGUUCACCCCGAGAGUGGGGCCCACACCCUGGAAAGCAUCGCGGUUUUGUCGGCAUCAGGUGAGCUCUCACUGCCCUUGAAAAUCAGGGGGAGAGGGUGUAAGUCUCAUGCCGAGCCGUACCCAUAUCCGCAGCAGGUCUCCAAAGUGAACAGUCUCUGGCAUGUUAGAACAAUGUAGGUAAGGGAAGUCGGCAAGCCAGAUCCUUAACUUCAGGAUAAGGAUUGGCUCUAAAGGCUGGGUUGGUCAGGCUCGGUUGUGAAGAGGGGCUGGGUGAGUGCCACGGCUGGAUGAGGUGUCACUGCCUCACCAUGGUCCCCCCUUGCGGGGGCAGGGAGAUGGCGGCAGCGACUCUGAAAGCACGCUGGGCCCUUCCUGUGGAUUGCCCUGGCUAUGGUGGAUGCUUGCCCUGUCUGGAGUCCCGCAUCAUCUGGCAGCUAGCAGCUGACUUAGAACUGGUGCGAACUGGGGGAAUCCGACUGGUUAAUUAAAAUAAAGUAUCACGAAGG